rnacentral:rRNA from 1 species
AAACUUUUAACAACGGAUCUCUUGGUUCUGGCAUCGAUGAAGAACGCAGCGAAAUGCGAUAAGUAAUGUGAAUUGCAGAAUUCAGUGAAUCAUCGAAUCUUUGAACGCACAUUGCGCCCUCUGGUAUUCCGGGGGGCAUGCCUGUUCGAGCGUCAUUA